AUUUUUAUUAUCCCUGGUCACUGACUUUGGACAGCUGCAAAGCAUGUGCUGUGUGCAAGAACUUCGGUGAAUUUAGUGCUCAGAAAAGCAGAAUCAAAACCAGCUCUGGCUCAUAUUUAAGGCUGGUGCAGGUGUCACGCAAACUUUACCUCUGAGCUGCCCCAACUCUCUCCCCUCAAGCUGUUUGAUGGAUGAGAUUCUUCAUCAGCAGUAAUACCUGAUCACUCAACUGAACUCUUUGACCACUUGUAUCUGCCCCAGAAAUAUGUGUCUUCCAAAGUCUGGCAAUGCUAGUGACAUGAAGAUGGGAAAGAGGCUGUCAAGCU